UCUCUCAAAGGGAGAACUUGGUGGCCAGUCCCUUGCCACGUCGAACCUCCAGCCAGUCCACCUUGCCUGCUACCGGAGAUCCCCCUUUGUCUUUGUCUUUUCUUUUUUGCUCUAGGAGCAUUUGAACCCCGAUCAGCCAAGGUUUCCCUCAGCAGUGUGGCAGCAGCGCUGAAUGAAAGAACAGGCAAAUUCAGCAAGGAUUUGGGAAAGAAGAAGCAUCACCUAACGCAGAAAGAUGCAAAGAAGUGAAACGAGAUCGCCAAGACGCAGAGCUCGGUGAGGAAUGUUGCUUUUCACAGCGGGAAACAGGAAGGAAUGUCACAGAAUCUGCCAAUCAGCGCCUAUCACCUCCGUCUAACCUCUCCCGCUCCUCCUCCUCCUCCACCACCACCACCUCCUCCUCCAUCCCUUCCAUCCCAGCUCACUCAAUCAUCCCCGAUCGGCCCUUUGCGGCAGUCAGACUGCGAAGAUAAGCCAGGCCCCGGAGCCUGGCUGCAAUCACAGUGAGUACGAUUAAGAGUGUGUGUGGUGAUGUAUCUGAUUCUGAGCGCAUGAGUAAAGAGUCCUCCACAGCGCUACCCUUCAGCCGCCCGGCCCGCCUGCCCAGUGUUCAGACUACCUGUUCAGGAAGUAGUGGUUGUACAGUAGUCUGCACAUUGGUUAGGCUGGCCGGGGAAGCACAGGACGACUGCCUAAAAAAAGCAGGAUGGGGGGGGGGUUAAAAAAAAAAGUGAGAGCCCUCCAAAGGGCAUUCAGCAGGCACAAGCACAUCAGGCUGUGGGAACACGCAGCUGCACCACCCCUCGUCCAUCUGGACCAGCCCGGGCACGAGCCUAAAUAAAGCACCCAAAGGCUCCACCGCAGAAGGCCUAGCCCUCGCCCAGGAUGGAUUUAUGAGUGAUGGAGAAGUCCUAAAAUUUUGAAAACAGACCCAUCAGGUUGUACUCUUAUUAAGCUAUAUGAUGUUUGUGUAACCAAGACCUCACUCUGCGACUCAGCUUGUGAAAAAUAUUUAAAAAUCGUCACAAUAAAGAGGCUUAAGUUUU